rnacentral:rRNA from 1 species
UGCGUAGGUGGUCUGACAAGUCAGAGGUGAAAGCCCAUCGCUCAACGGUGGAACGGCCAUUGAUACUGCUAGACUUGAAUUAUUAGGAAGUAACUAGAAUAUGUAGUGUAGCGGUGAAAUGCUUAGAGAUUACAUGGAAUACCAAUUGCGAAGGCAGGUUACUACUAAUGGAUUGACGCUGAUGGACGAAAGCGUGGGUAGCGAACAGGAUUAGAUACCCGUGUA